AUGGCUAAGGAGGGAGAUGCUAACACCAAAUUGUUUCAAGCGGUGGCGAAUGGACGUCGCUCCAAAAACUUCAUUGCUCAUGUCAAGAAGGAUGGUGUGCUGAUCACUAAUCAGGAGCUUAAGGAGAAGGCUUUCUUUGAGGCAUAUGAGAGAUUGAUUGGCUCUGAGCAUGCUAGAGAACACUCGCUAGACUUGCAAUAUCUGGGUAUACAGUCGUGGGAUCUUAGCGAGCUGGAGAUCAUGAUUACGGAAGAAGAGGUUUGGAGCGUCAUCAAGGAGCUGCCCCCGGACCGUGCUCCAGAGCCAGAUGGGUAUAUUGCUGCCUUCUAUCAAAAAGUGUGGCACAUUAUUAAGAACGAUGUCAUGGCUGCCAUACACAAGCUAUAUGUGGGAGAUGGUAGAGGUUUUGCGAAGCUCAACAAGGCGCACAUAGUGCUCAUCCCAAAGAAGCCGGAUGCUGAGGAAAUUGGUGACUAUCGUCCUAUCAGUCUUACCCAUAUCAUCCCUAAGCUGUUUGCUAAGGCUCUUGCCAAUAGAUUGAGGAAGCACAUGAACGACAUUGUGGAGUCUAACCAAUCGGCUUUCAUCAAAGGCCGACAUCUACAUGACAAUUUCCUCCUAGUGAGGCAAGUGGCUAGGAAGCUACAUGCUAGGAGAGCCCCGGCGGUGUUCCUUAAGUUGGAUAUUUCGAGAGCUUUUGACUCCUUGUCAUGGCCUUUCCUAUUUGAGGUCAUGGAAGCCAAAGGAUUUGGCACUCGGUGGAUGAGAUGGGUUGCCAUUCUACUACAAACAGCUAGUACAAAGAUCAUUGUCAAUGGAAUUCCAGGUGAGAGCUUUUCACACGCCUGUGGGCUCCGACAAGGAGACCCAAUCUCCCCGAUGCUAUUCGUCAUUGCCAUGGACGUCUUGACGGCCAUGAUUAAAAAGGCUACUGAAGUGGGAGUGCUCAGUAGGACACCUGGGAUAUCUCCAAUGCAGAGAUUGUCCAUAUAUGCUGAUGACGUGGCCAUGAUCAUCAAGCCAACUAGUAUGGAUCUGAGCUUCAUAAGGAAUGCCCUUGAUGCUUUUGGCACUGCCUCGGGUCUGCGAGUAAAUUACAGGAAGUCAUCGGCAAUUGCGAUCCGAGGAGACCAUGAAGAUAAAGCCAGAGUGGCUACGUUUCUAGAGUGCAACCAGGGAGAUUUCCCUUGCAAGUACCUUGGCUUGCAGCUUGCAAUAAAAAGCCUAACCAGGGCAGAUUGGCAGCCAAUGUUGGAUUAG
rnacentral:rRNA from 1 species